CCUACGGGGGGCUGCAGUGAGGAAUAUUGGUCAAUGGGCGCGAGCCUGAACCAGCCAAGUCGCGUGAGGGAUGACGGCCCUACGGGUUGUAAACCUCUUUUGCCGGGGAGCAACGGGCGCCACGUGUGGCGCCACUGAGAGUACCCGGAGAAAAAGCAUCGGCUAACUCCGUGCCAGCAGCCGCGGUAAUACGGAGGAUGCGAGCGUUAUCCGGAUUUAUUGGGUUUAAAGGGUGCGUAGGCGGAGGUGCAAGUCAGCGGUAAAAUUGCGGGGCUCAACCCCGUACUGACGUUGAAACUGCAUCCCUUGAGUGCGCGAGAAGUAUGCGGAAUGCGUGGUGGAGCGGUGAAAUGCAGAGAUAUCACGCAGAACUCCGAUGGCGAAGGCAGCAUACCGGCGCGCAACUGACGCUCAUGCACGAAAGCGUGGGUAUCGAACAGGAUUAGAUACCCCAGUAGUC
rnacentral:rRNA from 1 species